rnacentral:rRNA from 1 species
ACAGUUUCUUCAUGAUCGCCUGUUUAUCAAAAACAUCGCCUCUUGACCACAUAAGAGGUCUAGCCUGCCCAGUGAAAAUUCAACGGCCGCGGUACCCUAACCGUGCAAAGGUAGCAUAAUCACUUGUUCUUUAAAUGGGGACUCGUAUCAACGGCAUCACGAGGGUUGCACUGUCUCCCCCCUCUAAUCAGUGAAACUGAUCUCCCCGUGAAGAAGCGGGGGUACAACUAUAAGACGAGAAGACCCCAUGGAGCUUAAAACCUACAGCAACUCAACUCCCUCCACCCCCCCACAGCCCAAAGAAACAUGCGUGACGGUUUUAGGUUGGGGCGACCGCGGAGUAAAAACCAACCUCCACGACGAAAAGAACUAAAUCUUUAUCCCAGAGCCACCUCUCCAAGAAUUAGCACACUAACGAACAUGACCCGACUAUCGAUCAACGAACCAAGUUACCCUGGGGAUAACAGCGCAAUCUACUUCAAGAGCCCCUAUCGACAAGUAGGCUUACGACCUCGAUGUUGGAUCAGGGUACCCCAGAGGUGCAGCCGCUUCUAAAGGUCGCGUCACCCCAUC